rnacentral:rRNA from 1 species
UACAGAGGUCUCAAGCGUUGUUCGGAUUCAUUGGGCGUAAAGGGUGCGUAGGCGGCGCGGUAAGUCGGGUGUGAAAUCUCGGGGCUUAACUCCGAAACUGCAUUCGAUACUGCCGUGCUUGAGGACUGGAGAGGAGACUGGAAUUUACGGUGUAGCGGUGAAAAUGCGUAGAUAUCGUAAGGAAGACCAGUGGCGAAGGCGGGUCUCUGGACAGUUCCUGACGCUGAGGCACGAAGGUCAGGGGGAGCAAAACGGG